GAGGCGUCGCCUAGUCCGGUCUAUGGCGCCGCACUGCUAAUGCGGUUUCGGGGUAACCCCUGAUCGAGGGUUCAUAAUCCCUCCGCCUCCGCACCA
rnacentral:tRNA from 1 species